rnacentral:rRNA from 1 species
AUUGAACGCUGGCGGCAGGCCUAACACAUGCAAGUCGAGCGAGCGGCGGACGGGUGAGUAAUGUAUGGGAAACUGCCCGAUGGAGGGGGAUAACUACUGGAAACGGUGGCUAAUACCGGAUACUAUCGGAUGAACCCAUAUGGGAUUAGCUAGGAGGUGGGGUAAAGGCUCACCUAGGCGACGAUCUCUAGCUGGUCUGAGAGGAUGAACAGCCACACUGGGACUGAGACACGGUCCAGACUCCUACGGGAGGCAGCAGUGGGGAAUAUUGCACAAUGGGCGCAAGCCUGAUGCAGCCAUGCCGCGUGUAUGAAGAAGGCCUUAGGGUUGUAAAGUACUUUCAGCGGGGAGGCGUUACCCGCAGAAGAAGCACCGGCUAACUCCGUGCCAGCAGCCGCGGUAAUAC